UACGUAGGGGGCGAGCGUUGUCCGGAUUCAUUGGGCGUAAAGAGCUCGUAGGCGGUUUGGCAAGUCGGGUGUGAAAUCUCUGGGCUCAACUCAGAGGGGCCACUCGAUACUGCUAUGACUAGAGUCCGGUAGGGGACCAUGGAAUUCCUGGUGUAGCGGUGAAAUGCGCAGAUAUCAGGAGGAACACCGGUGGCGAAGGCGGUGGUCUGGGCCGGCACUGACGCUGAGGAGCGAAAGCGUGGGGAGCGAACAGG
rnacentral:rRNA from 1 species